CUCGACAUGGGUGGCAGCAGCCAAAUCUCCUCCUGCUGAUACUACUCCUCAAAUUGAUUUCUCAGUUCUCUUUACAGUCCUGCAUCUCAUGCUUUCUUCAUAUCAGGCUUAUAUGACUGGUGGAAAUCUCUACUUGAUUUUUCUGUGGUGCAUGGUCAAUCAAGUCUGAAGAUAUGAGGCCUGCAUCUAUUUUUGGAACCACAGAUUUCGCUGUUAGAAGGCCAUAUUCCGUUGAUUCAAAACUUUUUUUUUUAUGUGCAGCCUGCAUUUAUUUUUGGAAGCAUAAACGAAAGGAUCACAUAUGUAUGUCUGUUUGCUAAUUAAUACCUUUUCCUGCAAAUACACAUACACCACUUGGAUGUAGAUACCCAUUCUGCCUUGCUUUACAUGUUAAUUAACUUGAUUGGGUAAAUGUUUACUGCAUUGAUCGACCGGUAUCUCAAAGUACAAUCAGUAAGUGACUGAAGCUAAUUCAUUAGCCUUUUAUGUCUAUAUAUGAUCAUAAAAAUAUCUGUAGAGUGCAUCAGACAAGCAAAAAGUAUAUGGCAAGUGAUAGCACAUUUCUUAGGGAAGGGAUUUAUGAGUUCAAUGUUAAAAUCCUCUCUAUCAGUCGCCUCGCAUUUUUAACUUAUCUAGGUUGCUUCCCUAUUUUUUGCUACAUAAGAACUAGAUGUAUGUCACCAUAUCAGAGUUAUUUAUAUUCACAUGUUAUAUUCUAAAUCCAUAUGUUGUUGAGAUGUGUUCUUUAAUUGAUCUCUUCAUCUCUAUGCAGAGUAUCCUAUCAUAACAUUAACAAUGUUAGAUCAUACUUUUAGUGGGAGUUGCAUGGAGUUAUUAUUAUCAAAGCUGUUAUUAUUAUCAAAGCUAUUGAAGGUCGAAAAAGACAUGGAUGGAUUGGAUCCAUCACGGAAAGCUGAUUUCCUGUUCAUAUCUGAGACGAACGUAAAUUUCUUUUGAAGGUACAUUUCAAUUUAGUUUGUGCAUCAACUGUUCAAUCGGAAUGCUUUGCUAGACAUAUCCUAACCGUUACGAUGCAAAGGUAAAGCAAUAUCAUAGUCCAUUUUUUUUUAUAUUUUGUCUUUCAGUUGGUUUGCUUUUACAUGUCUGUGCUCAGAUAGAUUAUUUCACUGUUUAGUUCACCAGUCUAUUUUACACAUGUUUUUUUCAUUAUUUGUGAAAGCACACUUUUAAAUCCUAAAAGUUGUGCAGUCGAUCUGUUUCGUCAAACUGUAGUGUAGCCUGCUGCCACUGUGCUUUUACAAGCUCUUUGUUUCCGCGUUGUAUAUUUUGCCGGCUACUUAAAAGGAACAGGGAAGAAAAAAAUGGAACCUAACCUGAAGAAGUAUAUAUGCAUUGUAGAACUAUAAGGCUUAUGUUAUUGCAUCCAUACUUUGGUUAAGUGAUUAUGCAUGCUUUCGCUCAUAAACUUUGCCACGUGGCCACAUGGUAGCAGCACUUUGUACUACUCCACUCCAAAAAAGAUAGAACUUUUGGUAGAAAAAUUGGUUGCAUGUGUUUAGAAUUGUGAUGCCAAGCGAAAAUAUUAUCUCUCUAUAUAAGUGGUUGAUACUAUACUGUUUUAGCUGUACUAACAUUACUAUUAAAACUUUCUACUACCUUUGUCCCAAAAUAUAAAAACUUCUGGCCCUAUAUCUUGAAAGGUAUGUUUAGGUACACAGCUCAAAAUUGCGAUAUAUUUUGGGACGGAGGUAGUAUACUUUUUUUUAGGUGUACCGAUGUCACUAACCGCACAUAACGGAGGAUUGUUGUUGACUAGGGCACUUGCAUGUUGCACUUAAAAAACAUCAUUUUCUAUCUGUUCAUUUUAGCUUUGCAUAUGUUUAAUAUGGACCAACAGUAGGCAUUUAGGUCUUCUGUUUUUAGCAUCCAAUAGUCCAAUGUGAUUCUAGCGUAUAGAGAGAAAAGGGGUAGCAUUGAAACCUAUGUAAACUCAUUGUAAUUGACAUGUAAUUUGCCCCUUUUUUCUAUUUAUUCAAACUUCCAAUACCUUUUGGUUUUCUCCUUUAGCCUAUACACUAUAUUUUUGUAUGUGCAAUUUUUUUAUAAGGGUAGUUUAUGGGAUAUAGACGAAAAAUAAACCAAUGCUAUGGGUGAAUAGUAUAUGCAUAUUAUUCCUCGAACAUAUUGGACUUCAAUUGAUUCAGGCGAUUGAUUCAGGCGGCGCAGCGUAGUGUGCUUCUAUUGCUAGUGAGUUUUAUCUUUAACCAAGAGGAAGACCCUAGAACUGUCCCCUCUAUGUGUAACGGCUGCUAAUUUUAAGCUGUUAUAGAUGAGUUUUAUCCUUAAGGGUCUCCGGCCGUUACAGAUGAUUGGACACAUGUGUAACCAAUUGUUUGUAAUGCCUGCUGAGCCGUUACAGAUAGAUAGGUCUGUGCUAUAUGUUUCUUAAUUUUUGGAUGUUGAAAAAUAAUUUUAAAUGUCUUGACCGUCAAGUGCACAUAUUCUACAUUUUGUAAUAUAUAAGCCACAUUUGUACAAACUACGGUUAAUUGGAUCAUGCUAUUACAACUUCUUCGAAUUAAAAAAUACCAUUACUAUUCGUCUGUGUAGGGUUAUGCUAUUACAAUUUGACAAAAAUUAGAGAUAUGCUACUACUUACCUGCUCAAUGCAUUUAACAGAAAAACUAUUGAUCAGAUCCACGAUUUGAUUGUAUUAUUAAUUAUAUUUGUUGCAAAUAAAUCUUCAAAAUAAGAUCACACGUGGCUAUAUUUAGAAUGAAAAAAAUAUAUUUCUAACUGAAACAUUUUCAAUUUAUACAUGAAUCAUCUAUCUAUAACUAUUGAAAGCGAAAUCUUUACUGGAUCAUUAAAAAGUAUGGCACGCAACUCUUACAAAGGAACUAAUGAAACAUAAAAAUAAUUACUCAUUGAAAUAUCUAACUAAUACUAUAUAUGUGCAACAUUUUUAAAGUCCAUUGCACUAUGGGAAAGGUAAAUCAAAUCGGGAAGAAAGAGGAGGCGUCCAAAGUAGCGUCUGAUUGGACGCUCGAUGGAAAGCAUUUCCGAUUUCUUUUGGGCUGGUUUAUUGUGGGCCAACUACUGUUGAUAACUGGUUACUGUUUAGGGGGCCUCGUACUGUUUAUGUGGUUGGCUGGUUACUGACGAUGACCGUCUAUUCACAUGAGCAGGUCUUGUUCAAUUUAGCUGGUGCCAAAGUCAGUUAAAUUGUGUGCGGUGAGGACAACAGCGGGUUAAAUACGUUGAUGGAUUCAACGGGUUUGUUUGAUAAUAUCGAAAAUAUUCAGAAUCUGUGGGAUUUGCAUAAGAGAGAUAUAUAAAAUCUACGUUACUAAAAAGAAAGAGCAAACAUUAUGGUGAUAAUUUCUUCGAGUUAUUCAAGGCAACAGUGAAUUUUCUUGCAGUAUCAUGGGUUUACUCUACAGAUGCGAGAAGCGGGAAUAUUGGAUUUAUUAGCUCAGUUCAUAGGACAGAAGGAAGAAAGGUUUCUCUUAAUUAAUGUCUGAUGAGUUUGAUUUAUCUAUUUAUUGAUGACAUAUGUUAUCUAGCUAUGGAUUAGAUUAAGAAAAAUUUAAGACGAAAGAUGGAGGUGAAAAUAGUCCGAAAGAUGAAGGUGAAAAUAGUCUUCAGGAAGUUUAUAAUGUGACACCUUGAAAGGAUUAAUUAAAUUUCUAUUGACAAGAUGACUGUGGUGAUAGGUGGGAAGUUGAGAUACUAUUAAAGGUGGAGUCAAGAGGAAAAGGUUGCAUAUAUUGAUAGGCGGAGUCUCUUGUUACGAUGAGCCUAUUGAACGCUUGUUGGGACGGCUUAACGUGAGCAGCAAAAGGACCAACUCAAGUCCGAUUGUACACCGAAGAUCGAGUGUACGGGAUAAAUUUAGGUUGGUGUGUCAUAUUCGUUAAGGUGGGGUUUGUUACAGUUUUUGUUAAAUAUGUGUAUGUUAUCGAUUACAAUUUAGGACUUGUGUUCAACUAGCUAUAGAGCAAUGGAGCAAGAGUUGGACUUUA